GAUGUACUCCCUCCGUUCGGAAUUACUUGUCGCGAAAAUGGAUGUAUCUAGACGUAUUUUAGUUCUAAAUACAUCUAUUUUCGAGACAAGUAAUUCCGAACGGAGGGAGUAGAAC
rnacentral:pre_miRNA from 1 species